UACGUAGGGUGCAAGCGUUGUCCGGAAUUAUUGGGCGUAAAGAGCUCGUAGGCGGUUUGUCGCGUCGGCUGUGAAAACUCGGGGGCUCAACCCCGAGCCUGCAGUCGAUACGGGCAGACUAGAGUGCUGUAGGGGAGACUGGAAUUCCUGGUGUAGCGGUGAAAUGCGCAGAUAUCAGGAGGAACACCGGUGGCGAAGGCGGGUCUCUGGGCAGUAACUGACGCUGAGGAGCGAAAGCAUGGGGAGCGAACAGG
rnacentral:rRNA from 1 species